rnacentral:rRNA from 1 species
GACGAACGCUGGCGGCGUGCUUAACACAUGCAAGUCGAACGGACAGGCCCCUUUGUUGGUCCUCGAGUGGCGACCGGGUGAGUAACACUUGCGUAACGUUCCCUUACCUUUAGGAUAACUUCAAGUAACUGGGGCUAGUGCCGGUAAGGAAUCCUUUCUGCAUGGUGGGGGUUGGAUAGCUUCGGCGGGUUUGGAUGGACUCGCUGCUUAUCUGCUUGUUGGUGGGGUAGUGGCUUACCAAGGCGUUGACGGGUAGCCGGCCUGAGAGGGCGACCGGCCACAUUGGGACCGAGAGACGGCCCAGACUCCGACGGGAGGGAGCAGUGGGGAAGACUGCACAAUGGGCGGAAGCCGGAUGAAGAAACGCCGCGGGCGGGAUGACGGCCUUCGGGUUGUAAACCGAUUUCAGCAGGGGCGAAGCUUGUGGUGACGGUACCUGCAGAGGAAGCACCGGCUAACUACGUG